rnacentral:rRNA from 1 species
UGGGGAAUUUUGGACAAUGGGGGCAACCCUGAUCCAGCAAUGCCGCGUGUGUGAAGAAGGCCUUCGGGUUGUAAAGCACUUUUGUCCGGAAAGAAAUCCCUUGCCCUAAUACGGCGGGGGGAUGACGGUACCGGAAGAAUAAGCACCGGCUAACUACGUGUCAGCAGCCGCGGUAAUAUGUAGGGUGCGAGCGUUAAUCGGAAUUACUGGGCGUAAAGCGUGCGCAGGCGGUUUUGUAAGACAGGCGUGAAAUCCCCGAGCUCAACUUGGGAAUGGCGCUUGUGACUGCAAGGCUAGAGUAUGUCAGAGGGGGGUAGAAUUCCACGUGUAGCAGUGAAAUGCGUAGAGAUGUGGAGGAAUACCGAUGGCGAAGGCAGCCCCCUGGGACGUCACUGACGCUCAUGCACGAAAGCGUGGGGAGCAAACAGGAUUAGAUACCCUGGUAGUCCACGCCCUAAACGAUGUCAACUAGUUGUUGGGGAUUCAUUUCUUCAGUAACGUAGCUAACGCGUGAAGUUGACCGCCUGGGGAGUACGGUCGCAAGAUUA